rnacentral:rRNA from 1 species
AACGAACGCUGGCGGCGUGCCUAACACAUGCAAGUCGAGCGCGAAUGGAGCAAUCCUAGUAGAGCGGCGCACGGGUGCGUAACACGUGGGUAAUCUGCCUCAAAGCCCGGGAUAACCUGCCGAAAGGCAAGCUAAUACCGGAUAAGCCUACGGACUCUUCGGGGUCUGAAGGAAAAGGUGGCCUCUGUAUACAAGCUAUCACUUUGAGAUGAGCCCGCGGCCCAUCAGCUCGUUGGCGGGUAACGCCCACCAAGGCAACGACGGGUAGCUGGUCUGAGAGGAUGGCCAGCCACAUUGGGACUGAGAUACGGCCCAGACUCCUACGGGAGGCAGCAGUGGGGAAUCUUGCGCAAUGG